UUCCUGCUGGGUUGAACAUGGAGGAUGAAGCUGGAGGUGCCGCAGCCACCUUGCCACCUGGAACCUGGGAAUGGAGUGAACACAGUUAGAGAUAGCUCCAAGGCACCAGCGAAAAGUGAAUCUCUUUGAAUUGACUUCAGAAUCUACAACCUUCUUAAAGAUCUAGUCUAGCAGAACUUCAAGAACGGUCGUUCCAUGAUCGGCAGUCACCGUGUGCCCAAGGUGGGUCAGCCUCUAUGCCAAGACCUUGGGAUCGAACGCUUGAAGAACGGAGGACAUCUGAGGUCUCACUCCAGCGGCACGAAGGUUUCGCUGAGCGUGGUGGUAGCCCAUCCACAUCUGAAUCUUUGUCCUCGUUGGGAUCAACACUGAUGGAGGACAGCAGCCGUUCCAUUGCCUGCACAUCCCAGGCGGUGAUGCACCUCGAAGAGCCUCUAUCAUAGCAUCGUAGAGCAGGGCAGGGUCUUGGAGACCAAGUGCUCCAGUCCGUACUUCUGCAGACAAGCCAAAGGCCCAGGAGGUGAAGGGACUUGGUCAAGGUCACUCAGGAAACCCAUGUCUGAGAAGGAUAGGGAGGGACUCUUCUCAAAACUACCCAUACAGCACUCUCUCCUUGGGAGAGCUUCUCCAGCCUGAAGGCUUUAAACAUCUCCUACCUACUGACAGCUCCUGCAUGUAUGUUUCUGGCCUGAAACUCCCCUGAAUUCUCAACUCCCAACUCAUGCACUCAGCUGCCCAGGCAUAUCAGCCUCAGCCUGUCCAAAAUGAAACUUCUUACGCCUCCCUCUAAACCCGCUUCUUCUCUGGUCUUCCGCAUCUCAGAGAAAGGCAAGGCUGUCGAGUUGCUCAGGACCCGAACCCGGAAGUCAUCUUUUAUUCAUUUUUUGUUUUCUAAUUGAAGUAGAGUUGCUGUACAAUAUUAUAGAAGUUACAGGUGUACAAUACAGUGACUCACCAUUUUUAAAAGUUAUACUCCAUUUAUAGUUGUUGUAUCAAUAGAUUAUUUGCUAUAUUCCCUCUGUUGUAUAAUAUAUCCUUGUAGCUUAUUUUAUACAUAAUAAUUUGUAUGGAAGUCAUCUUUAUCUCCUUCCUUUCUCUCAGAUGCCACGUCCAGUCCAUCAGAAUCCAAGCCGCCAUCCUCUCUCACAUGGGUUUUGCGUUGGCUUCUCACUGGUCUCCCACCUCCUGCCCUGCCCGUCUAUGCUCAUCUCUUCUCCUUAUUGGAGUGCUUUGGGUGGUACAUUUACAUGCAGAUCAGACCUUAACGAUUCCUCUGCUCAAAGCCCUCCGUGGAUGUCUCAUCUCAUUCGGAAUGAGAAGGCGGGGAGAAAACAAUGGACCAAGAGUUAGGAGAACUGGGUCUGGAGCCAGCGUUGUCCCCGACUCUGGAAAAAUGGGCAGCUCUCUCCUGUUUCAAAUGGUUAGAUGUGGAUAUUUUAAGAGGUAAAGGGGUCAGCCAUCCAGGGGUCCCCAAACUCUUCUGCACUCCCUCCCUGACUCCCUUCCUGGGGCCCGGGCCAGAGGGUCCUCUGCCCUUUACCCUCAUGCCUCCUCCUCCUGGCUCAACAGGCCCCACCGUUCCCUGUAGGCUGUUCCACUGAUGUACAGGUUCCCAGAAACUGUGGCCACAGCUGCAUUUGAAGGUUGAAAAAUGAAAAAAAAAUUUUUUUUCGAAAAGGAAACAAAUGCAGUGGGAAAAUUCUCCAUUGGGAAUUGGUUGGUGACGGUAUUGACAAGGGAUGCAAAU